rnacentral:lncRNA from 12 species
UCCCUACAUCUGGAGACAUAUCUGACAGAGCAGGUGCCAUGUUAAUCUGACACAAUUUUUUUUUUUUUUUUAGAUGUGUUGAGGUUGAUGGAACCCAGAGAGUCAUUACUCCACUAUCCACAUGCAGGGAACAGCUGGCCAACCCAAGAUCUAUACCUUAUGAAGGUCUCAGAUGAAGAUCGUGUUCCUAGAGAGUGUGCAUCUCGUCAAAUGGCAAAAUAUUACAACCUCAAAGAGUUUUCUUCAGGUAUUUCAGCUCUGAGUGGACUUCGGAAAUGUAAGGGUCCAGGAUCCGGUUUGUGCAUGACUACCUGCCAUUUACUGUGAUCUCUUCAAUUUACCUGGCUAGCAACAGGGAAAGGACUACAUAUCCAACAGGUUCUAACAGUUCAUCUUAUUGAUUCUGAGACAGCUAGGAAAGGGAAUGAUACUAUAAUUACUAGCAAGAAAAAUUCUAACAAGGCACAUUAAAUUUGUUGCUUUUUUGUGACUCAAAAUUUCUGACUCACGUUUAGCAUAAUUCAUUUCCUUUUAGUGAAAGUGUCAGUACCAUCCUUUUCAAAAUAUUCCUUCUUCAGAAUUCCCCUCUGCAUUCAGAAAUGACAUACAAUAGCAAUAAUAGCAAUAAUUAUAGUAAUAACAAUACCAUGUAUUUAGUGAUUCGGGAUCGAGUGAUUGACACUGAAGACAAUUAUUACUAGCAUAUAGUAAAGAAAAACUGGUUUGUUGGUAGGUAGACACUUGGCAACUAGUGAAAUGAUGAAAUCUGUUACCAAACACAUAGCUCAUUAGAAUCAGGGAGGCUGUCAUGCUGAUGGUGGCAGCAGAAUACUGUAAACUUUUAUUUUUAUGUAUAUAUCAUUUAUCUCACUACCGGGCACUUAGUAGGCACUUGAUCAACAUAGUUCAUUUUAUCAGGGUGACUGCAGAGUAAGCUUUUGGGACAAGAAAAGUUGAGAAAUCCUUGAGGAAUGAGGGAAAAUUUCAUUUCAGGGGGGGAUAAAAGCUUUGAAUCAGAAACAAGAAUGGAAGUCAGAAUCAAAGAAUAUAUCAAAAGUAAGGCUAGGCUAGAGCAGCAGAUCAAAAAAUCUGUUAGACGAAUAAGAACCAAAGAACGCUUAUACCAGAAACAAAACCAUGGGUACAAAGUCCAGUCACACAGUCAGAAAUUCCAGCAGAUGCUGGAAAAAAAAGUAAGAAAAGGAACAUGAGAUGCUAGCACUACAGAAGAAGCGUGAUAAAUGAUGGAGGAAACAUUCCAGUCGAGUAUUUAAAUGAACCCUGUUAAGGAGGUAUACAAUGACAAAAGCUGAGCGAGGGUGGAGAUGGGUGUUAAUAACAGACGCUAAUGAUAAACAAUACUACACUUAGUAUUAAUAAUAAAUAACAGCCGUUCCACA